CGGAAUAGUAUAAAAUUGACCCCCCUGAGCAUCACGGCCUCCUCCCGCCCCCAACCAGCAGAUACUCAGAAAUUAGCUUGGUGGGCUGAAAUUGACAAACAGUAGCAUAAGAAAACCCUAACCCACCACCCCAAACUCGAGUCAUCCCCACUCGAAAACCAGCCCACUGUGUAGGGACAGCCCAACAAAGGCCCCCAGGCAACAGGGCCAGGAGAGACAGGAGGGGCAUGAACCCCCCAAAACGGGAGAUAAAGAAACCCCCAGGUCCACCCUCCCAAACAUCAAGAGCCCCCUCUGAGAACCUGACCGCCCAG